AAAUUUAUAAAAAUACAGCAUACGUUAGUUUCUGGUUUGGUGUGUUUUGCUUCCGUGACGAAUGUGUCUGCAACUUUUGAAACUUUUGAACUGAGAAGGCCUUUUUUUGCUGGUAGUUUGUUAGAGAUUAUUCGGACUCUUCUAGAACAAACCCGAACAGAUGAAAACAGGAUCUUAGGCUGCAACGUUCUUUUUGAUUUUCUAGAUUGCCAGUGAUGGAAAAGGGUAAAUCAUAGGUGAAUAUGGAAGCUUGCUUCUGCAAAAGUUGAGAAAGAAAGUCAAAAGUCAAAUGCUGUAGAAUUCAACUGAUUAGAAAGCAUCUAACAUUCACAUUAUAGAAGAGUUUUUGUGGUGAAGGUCAAAGUAGAGUGGUGGCUCAUUCUCUAAAAGCCACUUUUUCAAAGCCUAGUAACCAUCUCUACCAAGGUAACAUUAAUUUUAGGGAGUGGAGAAGGAGAUUAAUGGUAGCAUAAGAGCACUGUCCAACAAGUUGAAUUAUCAUUGUUCUAGCAAGACUGACAUGCAAGACUGCUACCACCACUUUAUUUGUAUGUCAUAGGGAUAUUUGUGAGAUUGUCAUUGGUAAUGAUCUUCUCUCUACAACAGUUCUACAAGUUUGAAAUUUGAAAUAAAUUGAAGGAGGUGCAAAAAUACUUAACAGAGAUGUUUGAAAAAGCUAGUAAAGAGGUUUAUUUAGCACCUUACUUGCAUAAGGGUCAUUGACAAUUGCUAGUAAUUGUUCUGGAUCGUUCUCUUGUAGUUCUCUUAUGUUCCUUACAUAAGAAAGCUAACACAUUGUCCAUAAAAAAAAAUUGGAGGCGUCUUUGGAAGCUCAUUCAAGGUUGCGGGGUAUUCCAUCUGUAUUUAGGAAGAAGAUGCAAAUAGUGACACCUAAUUGUCCACAUCAAUUGGGCAACUAUGAAUGUGGGUAUUACAUAAUGAAGCACAUGCGCACCAUUAUUUGUUCAAACAUUAAUGAUUCAUGGGAUAAGGUAUUAAAAAACUAACUAAAUACUUAUCUAACUGUUCAUUACAAAAUUGUUCUAACUUAACUAUUUUAUUUGUAAAUCUUUAAUGAUUCAUCUCCAAUGGAAGCUCCAAACAUUGAAGACAUUAGAACUAAGUGAACUUCUUUUAUUUUAAGUAUUAGUAAAUUGUAGAAACUUGACUACAAUGUAGUGUAGAUUAAUGUUAUAUUUGGAUUUAAUAUAUGGUUUGAUUUACAAAUUAUGUAUUAAAUAUUAUU